UGGGGAAUAUUGCACAAUGGGCGCAAGCCUGAUGCAGCAACGCCGCGUGAGGGACGACGGCCUUCGGGUUGUAAACCUCUUUUAGUAGGGAAGAAGCGAAAGUGACGGUACCUGCAGAAAAACGCACCGGCUAACUACGUGCCAGCAGCCGCGGUAAUACGUAGGGUGCGAGCGUUGUCCGGAAUUAUUGGGCGUAAAGAGCUCGUAGGCGGUCUGUCGCGUCUGCUGUGAAAAUCCCCGAGGCUCAACCUCGGGCCUGCAGUGGGUACGGGCAGACUAGAGUGCGGUAGGGGAGAAUGGAAUUCCUGGUGUAGCGGUGGAAUGCGCAGAUAUCAGGAGGAACACCGAUGGCGAAGGCAGUUCUCUGGGCCGUAACUGACGCUGAGGAGCGAAAGCGUGGGGAGCGAACAGGAUUAGAUACCCUGGUAGUCCACGCCGUAAACGUUGGGCGCUAGAUGUGGGGCACCAUUCCACGGUUUCCGUGUCGCAGCUAACGCAUUAAUGCGCCCCGCCUGGGGCAGUACGGCCGCAAGGCUAAAA
rnacentral:rRNA from 1 species